GCCGAGGUGGUGGAAUUGGUAGACACGAAGGACUUAAAAUCCUUUGAGGCUUAUACCCUCGUGCCGGUUCGAUUCCGGUCCUCGGCA
rnacentral:tRNA from 4 species